ensembl:lncRNA
GGAAAGGGCAGGUGGUAUUAUUUUUAUUUUACUGAUGGAAAAAGUGAGCCCUGAAAGAUGGAAUGACUUCUCUCAAGAUUGCACAGUAGUGAAUGCCAAAAAUGAUACUGAAGCACAGUUUUGUGAACUCCCAUGUCUGGUGAUUCUUGUAGUAUAGGUCACCAUAGUAUAUAUCGCCAUUUAAUUUUGUUAAGGUAAAUUUUGACUAGCAGUAUUAUUAAAUCAUCAGGAAACAAGAACUUAAAAUGACAAAUUUUUGUAAAAGGAAGCAGUGUGAUGGAAAGGAAAAGCAGCCCGUAUUUAAAAUCUCAGAACCUACGUUCACGUCUACUUGGGACCUUUAGCAAGUCACGUCCCUUAUUCCAAAAACUCUCAGGAAUCAGAAGAUCUGGCUUCAAAUCUAUGUGGCUGAGAAGUAUGGUUGAGUUAGGGGAGAUACCAUGUGGCAUAGUGGAGUAGUAACGAGAAAGACCAUGAGCCAGAGUGCUGUGACAGAUUGAUCCAAAGUAGAUUUUAUAGGGAUAAUUUAAAAGGAUAACAUUUGUGACUGGAUGACCUCCUCAGAAACUGAUUUCUAUCUGCCUUUUCUCCACCUGCCCCAGGGAUUAAUUUUUAUAAUUCUUCUGUUUCUCUGGGUUAACCACACCCAGUAUUGAAGAUCUCAUCAACACCAGCCACUUCCCUGCCUGCCAAGUAAGUAGAAACUACUGGUUCUGAGCCAGUUGGAAUCUGAAGAUGAUGCAAGAUAAAUUCAGAUGUUAAUUAGUAAAAGAGAGUCAAAAAUCUAAAAGUCUUGUCUCCUUCCAGGGAACUUAUUUCUACUGAGGAAAACAACUUGAAGACUAUCAUCAUAAGAUAAUCAGGGAGCUGCUAGGUGGUUCAGUGCAUACCGCACCACUCCUGAAGUCAGGAGGACCCGAGUUUAAAUCUGGUUUCAGACAGAACACUUCCUAGCUGUGUGACCCUGGGCAAGUCACUUAAGCCCUAUUGCCUUAGCAAAAUAAUAAUAAGAUAAUCGACAAAUAUCUGUUGAGCAUGCUGCAUCUUCUGGGGUUUGGAUUUGGUGCUGUUGGUCUAGUUGAGGAAAUGGAACACACACACUUGGAAAUAGCUCAUUAAAAAAAAAUUAAGUUUACAACCUGACUCUAAACCAUCCUAUGGAAUACGUUGGUAUUCUCCUCAUCCUUUUUAGGAAGAAUUGAGUGUAGAGAGAAGUGACAAUUGACUGGUUCAGCAAAACUGAUAGUGUUAAGUAUUAGAACCAAUGUGUCUAUUCCAAGACCGGCAUUCUUUCCAUUACACCCCUAGUUGCUUCUAAACAAAAGAGCAAAUUUUAAAAAUAGAGGAGGAGAAAAGUCAGUCAUGAUUUUUGUGAUGUAAACACCAGAUGAUGAUAGGCACCAAAAGUUGGGAUUCUGUUAUGUGAGGAAUUCAUAAUAACCAUUCUCUUUGGCAAAGAUGGAAGGUUUCAUGUGUUUAUGUUCAAAGGAGAUCCUGAAAAGUUGGAGUUGCAGGCCAGUGUAAUAAGUUGUCUCAAAACAUUUUGCAGGCUUGGACCCAUAUCCAAAUCAAGAGGCAAAAUUUAUUAUAAUUUGUAAUGCCAAUUGAAAUGGGUUAAGUUUCAAAAGAAUUUAGCAAAGAGCCUGGAAUAAGAAGAUAAAUUUAUAGGAAAAAGCUAGAGAGACCAGAUCCUUCAAGUCACUGAUAUAUUAAUUUUAUGGCUUAUAAGUGGAUUUAAGGAGUGGUCUGGUAUGCGCUUUAUUGUCUCAGAAACUUUGUUAUUAAGCAACAUAUUGUUGUUUUACAGCCAACACUGUUUGUGGAACUGCAGCACUCCUAAAGCUAGGGUAUCUUAGGGUUAUUGCUACAUCUUCCCUAAAAUCUCAGGGAAGAAAUAUAUAACUACAUUUCUCCUGAAGUCAGGGGACUUUAGGGUUAUUGCUACAUUUUUGAGACCCAAAUUCAUUUGGGACAAAGUAAAAUCUCAUCUUCUGGAGCUGUGUCAGGGUGAUAAGGGGUGUGAAGCUGGUCCAGACUGAGGAGGGGAGGAACAUGACUUGAAGAUGGUGACAUCCAGGGCUUGCUAAGUCUCAGAAGCAAGUAGCAGGUGAUAUUCAAGUUGAACAAGAAGUUGGAAGUUCACGGCUCUGAGUUUGGAAGAAAGAAAACUCACAAGUAGAUUAAAAAUGAAGGGAGCAAAAAGGAACAAAAGUAGAAUUAUUAUGGGGGUUACUAGGGACAGUAACCAGAAACCCUACCAAGAAGACUUGAGGCUAUCUCACAUCCAGCCAGUUUUUUCUAGGAACCUCUUGCUAUGAAGCUCUACCUUCUCUGAGUUGUUGAUGUACAGACCCCACUACUAGAGGCAAGAAGAGAGUUCAAGGCCAAUCAGUUGUCUAAAACCAUGAUAGCAAGAGAGUCUGGGCGUUCUUGGAUUUCUUGGAGAGAGAAUGCAGUUUUCAAGGGACUGAGUCAAGACCCCUAAGCCCUGGCUCCACCAUUCAUCAACAUACAGAGUUCAGACUUUUCUAAAUGAGGUAAGGCUAAUGCUGAGGCAGAAGUUAGUUUUGCUUUCAGGGUCAUAAAAACCUUAGCCUGAUGAGGGCCCCAAUGGAGAGGAAGUUUAUCAGAGCCCUGAAUAGCUACAAAAUCUAGCCAUGCUCAGGAAAGUACACAGUUGUUUCUUUGAGGCAAAUUCAGGGAGUGCCAAGAUGUAAACCAUACUGAAGGUGUUUCAGAUUUUGUUUCAAUAAUCAAUAGAAUAACAGGUCCCAUAGACACUGUAUCAAUUUAGGGACCUAAUUUUAUACAGGUAUAUAUCUAGUUACCUAAUUAUUUAGGAUAUAAUGACUAUAUAUUUUCAGAUUGAAAGUAACUUUAAGGUGUUUUUCUUUUCUUCUUUGAGUUUAAACUCAUCCUGGUGCAAGGACCAAUCAUUAUUUCUGUAUAAUAAACACAUUUCUUGUUAUAUAUAUAUAUACAUCCCAAACAGGUUCAUUUCUCAGGGCUUAUGGCUUUGCUUACCCUGAGGGUUUUAAGAAAGCUGUCAAGCUUACAAAUUAAGGGGAGUUGACAGAGCCCCCAGGGAAGGGGUUGAACUUGCUGUUGCCCACCCUCACCUUCUGUGAGCUGUGCUGUUUGAUAUCUCCCUCCACUCUGUAAAGGGGGAAAGGGUGUUGCAUACCCUCAUACUUGAAGUUGAACUGAUAAGGAUUUUACCCCAUUCUCAUUCCACACAUAGUAAUUUCCAAUUUUAGUUUAACAUGAUAACAAUAACUCCAAAUAACUUAGGAUAACAAUCUUAGAAACAGUUUUAGCUGCAAUUUCCUCUUAAUUUUCUACCAAAGGUGGAAAUACCUAAUUUUUAAGAUUGCAUUUACAAAACACUAAACAGGAUUAGCAAAGCUAAAUAAACUUUCUACCUUCUUUUAGUUCAGUUUAUUCUAUCUCCAGUCUGUCGCAGCUUUAGGAAUUCUCAGGGAGGGUUCCGGCUUCCCCUCCUAUUCCCUUAAACAAGCCUCCCUUUUGUUUUAGGGAGAAAACAAGACAAUUCUUAAAAUUCAGAUAGAGCAGAAUCUAUUGCAAAAAUGAAUAGGAGUUUCAUAUAAUUUACAGUUAAAUUUCCAAUUUUAACAUACACACUGCUUUAAAAGUUAUUUUAAAAUUGACAACUUUAGCUUAUGAGAUUCCCUAAAUUCUAAUUAAAUGUUCCAGACAAACUGAAUUGUCCUUUAAUUAUUUUCCAAUUCACACAAAUCAUUUCUCUUUUGUGAGCUAGUAAAGAGUUAAGUGUUGGUUUUUAUUGACAGGACUCCUCAGAAAUCUGACUCUAGAUAAUGCUCUAAAAGCAAGCUGUUUGUUGCCAGUUUUUAAAGCAAUAGUGAGUUGCUUUUGUGUUUUCCUAAAUUUCUCAAACUUUUAAAUCUUUUGUUAACAUUGUCAGUGAAAAUAAAUUGCAACUUACAUAUCCCAUUAGUAGGUUUUGGUUAAAGUCCAUUUAAAACUGCUUUUACUAUCAUUUCUCAAAUAACAAGUUUCAUCAAACUGAAUUUAUUUUCUUUCCCUCUCAGGGAAGGAGAUAGAAAGAUUUUUGUAUUAUACUCUAUCCUUGUACUCUUAGGGAGCCCAGACAUGGUAACUUAAUUUAGUUGAAUUUGCUUCCAAAUUUACACACACAAAAAAAAUAUUCUUUAUCCCAACAUUGGCAUUGUAUGUUGGUCACAUCUAAAAACCCAUAUAAACUUGUCAAAUAUGAAGCAAUUAUAUCCACUAAAAGUUAACAUUCAUAUAGUAUUUGCUAUAUUAGCACUUUUUUAAUCAUGUGAUUCACAACCAUUAUUAAUUUUCUUUACAAAUCAGAAAACUGCUGAGAUAAAAUAAUUUGCCAUAAAUUACAUAGCUAAUACAUUUCUGCAAUAAAAACAGAAGGUGUGUUUACUAAAUGCAGAGGCUGGCUGCUUUCCCACUUCAUACUUCAGACUGCUUUGGUGCUGCCAGAGCCAACCAGAUUCUUCCAGUCAGUUGCUGGACAGAACUUGAAGGCUAGAGUGGCUGGUGUCAGGAUCUCCCUUUGAUGGUAGUUUCAAGUACCAGGGCUCAGAGAAUGCUGACUUUGGGGCUUGACCCCCACUCCAUCCUCACUUUCCAAAGCUGGAUUGGGGGUGGUGCUUGGGCAAGAUGUGUGGGUUCCCCACUGUGAGACAAACUAGGAUUAAGUUUCCACAGAAUAGUUAAAAUUCAAUUCUUCAGAAACUGUAAGCAAACAUUAAGAAGUACUAAAAAGCUAAAUUUCCACAGAAUGUUGUAAACCUCAAGGUAAUGGAAGAUAAUAACUAUCUCUGACCAAUGAGCUUUCAGGAGAAGAGAUUCACUUGCCUUCAAACUUUUGAUGAAGAUGUCUAGGCUGGAAACUGGUUUAAACUGACUAGAUUCAAGGACCGGGAAAAGGCUUUUCUUUAUUGCACUUGCUUAAUAACCCUCAUGCAUAUAAGCUGACACAUUCCAUAUAGAAUUACAACCUCAUUAACAACAUGGGAUAUAUGACAAGGGAGGGGGAAAAUAUUUAGGAGUAGCAUGUAAGAAAUCAUGUUAUCCUAUGGGGAACUGACCAAUAUAUUCUUUGAGGGAGGGAACUGCAAUGAACUAACAGCAUAAGGCUUGUCUGCUUCUGUACCUAGAG